UACGGAGGGUGCAAACGUUGCUCGGAAUCAUUGGGCGUAAAGCGCACGUAGGUGGCUCGUUAAGUCGGAUGUGAAAGCCCUAGGCUCAACCUAGGAAGUGCAUUCGAAACUGGCGAGCUUGAGUAUGGAAGAGGGUCGCGGAAUUCCCGGUGUAGAGGUGAAAUUCGUAGAUAUCGGGAGGAACACCAGUGGCGAAGGCGGCGACCUGGGCCAAUACUGACACUGAGGUGCGAAAGCGUGGGGAGCAAACAGG
rnacentral:rRNA from 1 species